rnacentral:snRNA from 1 species
UCACUUUGGCAGCACAUACACUCAAACUGGAACCAAAGAGAGGAUUAGCAAACUCCCUGCACAAGGGUGACAUGAAAAUCUGAGGAGUGUUCCAUAGUUUU